rnacentral:rRNA from 1 species
ACCUCAGCUCAAGCAAGAAAACCCGCUGAACUUAAGCAUAUCAAUAAGCGGAGGAAAAGAAACUAACAAGGAUUCCCCUAGUAACGGCGAGUGAAGAGGGAAAAGCUCAAAUUUUAAAUCUACCUGGUUCCCAGGUCGAAUUGUAUUUUGAAGAAGCGAUAUCUGUGUUGAGGUCUGGUUCAAGUUCUUUGGAACAAGACAUCAUGGAGGGUGAGAAUCCCGUGCAUGAUCAGACCAAGAUACUUAAUAUUCGUUUUCUAAGAGUCGAGUUGUUUGGGAAUGCAGCUCAAAUUGGGUGGUAGACUUCACCUAAGGCUAAAUAUCAGCGAGAGACCGAUAGCGAACAAGUACUGUGAAGGAAAGAUGAAAAGCACUUUGAAAAGAGAGUUAAAUAGUACGUGAAAUUGUUGAAAGGGAAACGAUUGAAGUCAGUCAUGCUAGUGAAAAUUCAGUUUGACGGGUUUUGGGUUUAGGAGUAAGAGGUAGGGUCAAACCAUCUCUCUUUUAAACUUGGGAUUUGUCGGAUGCACUUUUUCUUUGGCAGGUCAGCGUCGAUUUCGGGGGUUGUAAAAUACUUGGGGGAAAGUAGCUCUGCUUCGGGAGAGUAUUAUAGACCUUGAGAGAUGCAGCCCGUGGGAUCGAGGAUUGCAGCAAAUGCCUUUGGCUUGUCUUCUGAUCUUUGGUUGUUACCUCGUUUAUGACAACAUUCUUGUCAUCGAUGAGUUCUAAUGGUUAUGGGUUAGAAUGAUCAAAAAUUUGCUAAGGAUGCUGACGUAAUGGCUUUAAACGACCCGUCUUGAAACACGGACCAAGGAGUCUAACAUAUGUGCGAGUGUUUGGGUGACAAACCCGGAACGCGUAAUGAAAGUGAAUAUGGGUGGGAUCCUCCUUGUGGGGAGCACCAUCAACCGAUCAGGAUAUUUUUUGAUAGAUUUGAGUAAGAGCACAUCUGUUGGGACCCGAAAGAUGGUGAACUAUGCCUGAAUAGGGUGAAGCCAGAGGAAACUCUGGU